rnacentral:lncRNA from 1 species
GGCCGGGUGAUGCAACUAUGUUCACUUUGUAAAGCCGUGCGUGGUUCCCGACCGAACCGUGGUAACGUGGCUAGCUAGCUAAUGUGCACGCCGUUAGUUGAGGCACGUACGUGCUUGUCACAAAAAAAAUUCACAAAAAAUAAACCCGCUUUCUCUCGCCCAAUUAGCAUACGCAGCGCAAGCUUACUUCAAAAUCUCCAAGCUCCAAGGGCAGGCAUAUAGUACUCCAUAU